rnacentral:rRNA from 1 species
UACGGAGGGUGCGAGCGUUUAUCGGACUUACUGGGCGUAAAGCGUGCGUAGGCGGAUGCUUGAGUCGGAUGUGAAAGCCCUGGGCUCAACCUGGGAAUGGCAUUCGAUACUGGGCAUCUAGAGUGUGGUAGAGGGGGGUAGAAUUCCUGGUGUAGCGGUGAAAUGCGUAGAUAGCAGGAGGAAUUUCGAUGGAGAAGGCGACCACCGAGAUCAACACUGACGCUGAGGUACGAAAGCGUGGGUAGCAAACAGG